rnacentral:rRNA from 1 species
CUUGGUCAUUUAGAGAAAGUAAAAGUCGUAACAAGGUUUCCGUAGGUGAACCUGCGGAAGGAUCAUUACCGAGUUUUCGGGCUUCGGCUCGACUCUCCCACCCUUUGUGAACGUACCUCUGUUGCUUUGGCGGCUCCGGCCGCCAAAGGACCUCCAAACUCCAGUCAGUAAASSCAGACGUCUGAUAAACAAGUUAAUAAACUAAAACUUUCAACAACGGAUCUCUUGGUUCUGGCAUCGAUGAAGAACGCAGCGAAAUGCGAUAAGUAAUGUGAAUUGCAGAAUUCAGUGAAUCAUCGAAUCUUUGAACGCACAUUGCGCCCCUUGGUAUUCCGGGGGGCAUGCCUGUUCGAGCGUCAUUACAACCCUCAAGCUCUGCUUGGAAUUGGGCACCGUCCUCACUGCGGACGCGCCUCGAAGACCUCGGCGGUGGCUGUUCAGCCCUCAAGCGUAGUAGAAUACACCUCGCUUUGGAGUGGUUGGCGUCGCCCGCCGGACGAACCUUUCUGAACUUUUCUCAAAGGUUGACCUCGGAAUCAGGUAGGGAAUACCCGCUGAAACUUAAGCAAUAUCAAUAAAGCGGGAAGGA